rnacentral:rRNA from 1 species
GACGAACGCUGGCGGCGUGCUUAACACAUGCAAGUCGAACGGGUCUGCCCUGUUUUUUGCGGGGUGGGUCAGUGGCGAACGGGUGAGUAACACGUGAGUAACCUGCCCCUCACUUCUGGAUAACCGCUUGAAAGGGUGGCUAAUACGGGGUGUUCUGGCUGUGCCGCAUGGUGUGGCUGGGAAAGAUUCACUUUUGUGGUGUUUUGGUGGGGGAUGGGCUCGCGGCCUAUCAGCUUGUUGGUGGGGUGAUGGCCUGCCAAGGCUUUGACGGGUAGCCGGCCUGAGAGGGUGGGCGGUCACACUGGGACUGAGAUACGGCCCAGACUCCUGCGGGAGGCAGCAGUGGGGGGUAUUGCACAAUGGGCGGAAGCCUGAUGCAGCGACGUCGCGUGAGGGAUGGAGGCCUUCGGGUUAUGAACCUCUUUCGCCGGUGAAGAAGGUCCUGCUCUUUGUGGUGGGGUUGACGGUAGCCGGGUUAUGAAGCGCCGGCUAACUACGU